GACCUCAUCCACCUGACAUUUGAAUCAUCCAAGCGUCCGAAUCUCCAAAUAGAGAAGAAUUCCAGUGAGUAGUAACAGUUCUACUCGGUUCAUUUUUCAAUCUACGAGGCAAUUCGUUGGAAACGCGACGUGCUAUCAGAAUGAAGGAUUCCUGUCUGACGCUGGUGCACGCUGAGCCGCUUGAAACAUUCAUGGCACGUCCAAGAUUCUCUCAAUGCGUCGCAUUAAGCGAGUUAUAAGGAUAUAUCCGAAAACGAUCCUAUGAAUAUCGCAGCGGCCGGAAGUCGGGCCGAAUUACCGUCGUGCACCAUCCGCUUCGUCGAUCAAUCAGACGGAAGGUUAUGGUUUCAGGAUUAAAAUAUGCAGAUGGGAAGUUGAAAGGUAUAUAUCGAUAGCAAAAUUCCAGCCUGACCUGUUGGGACAGCUAUUUCCAAUCAGGACGAUUUUAGUUGCGAUUUUUAAUAUAAUUUUACCGUGGUGGGUCGUUGGGAAAUCUCAGGAUCCUCGAAUUUAAUAUUCAACACAGUUCCACGCUCGACUUUAUAAUUUUAGGGAUUCUAGAAACUUAUUUCUCCAAAUUUUACGCUAGAUCGUUGAAAAGAAUUGUAAAAUUCUUUGAAAAAUCCACAAGUUGAUUUUAUAGCACUAAGCACUGCAGAUGCAAUUUUUGAACAGACAGCCUUGGUGGAGUUCCCAGAAAAUCAACACGAGUAUCUUUCUCCCGGUGGGAUACCGCAAGGAGAACGGAGAGGUCAAUUUGAUGGGGGACACUUCCGACGAAGGGGUGUCCGACGGUGAGGAAUGACGGUGUGGCGCACCAAUGGGGAUGCUAAGAAAAACAGCGGAAAAAAGGCACGCAUAUGUGUACAUACAUACAUACAGGAAAUGCAGAAAUUGAAGGGAGGGAGUAGGAGCACUUCAGGAACGCUGGUAGAUAAAUGUUUCUGUGGCUGAAGAUGACACAGACCAGGAGUCGAAACACUUCCUAUAAGCCAAGCUAUAUGUACAAGUAUGGUCCGAUGUAAGAGAACCUAUAAGGAUGUGCAUAUGAGGAGUAUUUUCCUAUAAGAGAAGCUAUGACGAUGUUCCUAUAAGAGAAACUCUAACAAGUCCUCUCUAAGAAGUCUUCUCUAAGAAGUGUUCUCUAAGAAGUUCAUAUAAGAGCAUCUAUAAGGAGUUUGUUCGUACAAGAGAAUCUACAAGGAGUAUAUUUCUACAGGAGAAUCUAUAAGGAUGUUUAUAAGGAUAAGAAACUAUAAUAUAUGUUCCUGUGAGGGACUCUAUAAGGAUGUUCCUAUAAGAGAAACUAUGAGGAGUCGGUUCAUAUAAUAGAAUCUACAAUGAGUGUAUUUCUACAAGAUCACCUGUAAGGAGUUGUUCAUAUAAGAGAAUCUAUAAGAAUGUUUCUGUAAGAGACACUAUAAGAAGUCUGUACAUAUAAGAGAAUCUAUAAAGGAAUGAUGUUCCGAUAAGAGAAACACUAAGAAGUCUGUAUAUAUAAGGGAAUCUAUAAGGACUAUAUUCCUACAAGAGAAGUUACAAGGAGUCUGUUCAUAUAAGAGAAUCUAUAAGGAUGUUCCUGUAAGAGACACUAUAAGAAGUCUGUACAUAUAAGAGAAUCUAUAAAGGAAUGAUGUUCCGAUAAGAGAAACUCUAAGAAGUACAUAUAAGAGCAUCUGUAAUGAGUAUAUUCCUACAAGAUAAGCUACAAGGAGUCUGUUCAUACAAGAGAAUUUAUAAGGAUGUUCCUGUAAGAGAAACUAUAAGAAGUCUACAUACAAAAGAAUCUAUAAGGGGUAUAUUCCUACAAUAGAAGCUAUAUGCACUCAUAUAGAAGGAUGUUCUUAUAAGAGAAACUCUAAGUAGUGUAUUCAUAUAAGAGAAUCUAUAAGGAGUAUAUUCCUAUAACAGAAGCUAUAUGCACUCAUAUAGAAGGAUGUUCCUAUAAGAUAAACUCUAAGAAGUACAUAUAAGAGCAUCUAUAAUGAGUAUAUCCCUACAAGAUAAGCUACAAGGAGUCUGUUCACAUAAGAGAAUCUAUAAGGAUGUUCUCAUUAAAGAAGCUAUAGGAAGUAUAUUUCAACAAAAUUACUUAUAAGGAGUUUGUUCAUAUAAGAGAAUCCAUAAGGAGUAUACUCUUACAAGAGAAGCUUUAAGAUUAUACCUGUAAUGAACCUGUUGUUAUAAGCGAAUCUCUAAGGAGUAUAUAUAAGAUAGAAAAGAAUGUACAUAUAAGCAGUAUGUUGUUACGCAUUCCAGUGUCAUCGAGGGACUCCCAAGACGCUGCUAAUGAUUCUAGUAUUGAAUUAAAC